CUGAGAAGUCACCUCUCUCGGUUGAGUCCCCCUCUCCUCGCGACAGCAGAGCCGCUUUUGCUUUCCUUCAGCACCACUUUCCAUCCUAUUCUCCCUCUCUCCCCUACAUCCCCGAAACGCUUACCAGCGAGCGUCAGCGCAGAGAGAUGACGAGCAAUUGGGGGAAAUAAAUCACGUUUCAGUGCAAUUUAUUCCUUCGAAAAAUAGAGGAUGAUGAGAACAUAGAAGAAAACAACAUAGGCAGUAAAGAAGGAAAAGGAGGAAACACAAAUUAUUAUAACAUAACGCACAAGUUCGUCAGCGGUCCAGCUGUCGGCAUAUUUCAUUUAUUUCGGGUUAAUUGCACGUUUACUGUAGACUAGCUAUGUCGCAGCGGGAGGAUAUUGAAAAAGGCAGAGGGGGGUAGGUUGCUGAGAGAGAGGGAGAUAGCCUUGGCAGCAUAUUAUUAUAAUGAUGCUGAGUGAGUGACUGAUCCACGCAUUCAAAUUGCGCUGGCGACUUUAAUUUGGAACUACAAUUCAGCAAGGGCGAUAUUGUAUUUUCGUCUGCUUCUGGAAGGCAUCGGGAGGAACCUGCAAAUUUCCCGAACAAUGCUCCAAGUGGCGCCUUUUAUCAGGCUCGGAAGAAAGAAAGCGGAGCAAAGGACGACUGCUAUAGAGGGCUGAAGGAGCCGACCUGAUUUGAGCUCAUCAUUAGGAUUCAAGGAGCUAAGACGUUGAGACCGAGAGGAAGGGAAGUUGAGACCGAGAGGAAGGGAAGUUGAGACCGAGAGGAAGGGAAGUUGAGACCGAGAGGAAGGGAAGUUGAGACCGAGAGGAAG
rnacentral:lncRNA from 1 species